AGUGAACGCUGGCGGUAGGCCUAACACAUGCAAGUCGAACGGCAGCACAGUAAGAGCUUGCUCUUACGGGUGGCGAGUGGCGGACGGGUGAGGAAUACAUCGGAAUCUACUUUUUCGUGGGGGAUAACGUAGGGAAACUUACGCUAAUACCGCAUACGACUUACGGGUGAAAGCAGGGGAUCUUCGGACCUUGCGCGAUUGAAUGAGCCGAUGUCGGAUUAGCUAGUUGGCGGGGUAAAGGCCCACCAAGGCGACGAUCCGUAGCUGGUCUGAGAGGAUGAUCAGCCACACUGGAACUGAGACACGGUCCAGACUCCUACGGGAGGCGGAAGUGGGGAAUAUUGGACAAUGGGCGCAAGCCUGAUCCAGCCAUACCGCGUGGGUGAAGAAGGCCUUCGGGUUGUAAAGCCCUUUUGUUGGGAAAGAAAAGCAGCAGGUUAAUACCCCGCUGUUCUGACGGUACCCAAAGAAUAAGCACCGGCUAACUUCGUG
rnacentral:rRNA from 1 species